CUUCCUCUUCUUCCUCUUCCUCCUCCUGAGCUCCAGCAAAGCCAACGUCUCAUAGGAGGCUAUUGAAGCCGUGGAGGCAGGAAUGAAUGGCUCCUCAUUGGGGAUGCAAGGAGCCUAAAAGCAGGAGGGAGGGGGAGAAGGAGAGGGAGGGAGGGAGGAUACUCUGGUCCAGUGGAGAGGCCCCCCUGACUUCUAAGUCCAGAGCCCCGCGGGCAGCAGAGGGAAAUAUUGAGCCAAAGAGGUUUGAAGAAAGCCCUCAGGGGUCACCUUUUAUUAUUCAAGGCAGACCUUUUGGGGGAAGCAACAAAAAAGCAGCUCAGUUGCGGAAACCGCGGAGCCCGGAUUCGCCACCUUUGGGUCCCUGGGAAGACUCGAGACGGCGGCUCCCGAGUCCAAGCGCGGGCGGAGGAGGAGGAGAGGCGCCGCUCCCUUCCCUUCUCCAAACCCAUAAGCCAAGAAGAGCUCAGACAAGCUCUAUAUCUCUAAUACCCCAACAUCUCACAGAUGAAAAUGACCAAGCAACAUCAGCAUGUGGUCAAGAUGGCAAAAAAUAG
ensembl:lncRNA